UUAGGUGACUAUAGCACGGGGGUUCCACCUCUUCCCAUUCCGAACAGAGAAGUUAAGCCCCGUCACGCCGAUGGUACUGCGUAAUAGUGGGAGAGUAGGUAGUCGCCAUUU
rnacentral:rRNA from 2 species